GAUGAACGCUGGCGGCGUGCCUAAUACAUGCAAGUCGAGCGAACGGACGAGAAGCUUGCUUUUCUGAUGUUAGCGGCGGACGGGUGAGUAACACGUGGAUAACCUACCUAUAAGACUGGGAUAACUUCGGGAAACCGGAGCUAAUACCGGAUAAUAUUUUGAACCGCAUGGUUCAAAAGUGAAAGACGGUCUUGCUGUCACUUAUAGAUGGUUCCGCGCUGCAUUAGCUAGUUGGUAAGGUAACGGCUUACCAAGGCAACGAUGCAUAGCCGACCUGAGAGGAUGAUCAGCCACACUGGAACUGAGACACGGUCCAGACUCCUACGGGAGGCAGCAGUGGGGAAUCUUCCGCAAUGGGCGAAAGCCUGAUGGAGCAACGCCGCGUGAGUGAUGAAGGUCUUCGGAUCGUAAAGCACUGUUAUUAGGGAGGAACGGAUGUGUAUUAAAACCUGCACGUCUUGACGGUACCUAAUGAGAAAGCCACGGCUAACUACGUG
rnacentral:rRNA from 1 species